rnacentral:rRNA from 1 species
CCUACGGGAGGCAGCAGCAGGGAAUUUUGGGCAAUGGGCGAAAGCCUGACCCAGCGACGCCGCGUGGGGGAAGAAGGCCUUCGGGUCGUAAACCCCUUUUCUGGGGGAAGAGUAAGGACGGUACCCCAGGAAUAAGUCUCGGCCAACUACGUGCCAGCAGCCGCGGUAAUACGUAGGAGGCUAGCGUUAUCCGGAUUUAUUGGGCGUAAAGGGGAUGCAGGUGGCCUUUCAAGUCCGGGGUGAAAUCUCCCGGCUUAACCGGGAGAAGUCUUCGGAUACUGGAAGGCUUGAGGGCAGCAGAGGGAGGUGGAAUUCCCGGUGUAGCGGUGAAAUUCGUAGAUAUCGGGAAGAAUACCGGUGGCGAAGGCGACCAUCUGGCCCGUUACUGACGCUCAGACGCGAAAGCGUGGGGAGCAAACAGGAUUAGAUACCCCUGUAGU